UACAGAGGUGCUCAAGCGUUGUUUCGGAUUCAUUGGGCGUAAAAGGGGUGUGUAGGUGGGCGCCGUAAGUCGGGUGUGAAAAUUUCGGAGCUUAACUCCGAAACUGCAUUCGUAUAACUGCGGUGCUUGAGGACUGGAGAGGAGACUGGAAUUCAUGGUGUAGCAGUGAAAUGCGUAGAGAUCAUGAGGAAGACCAGUGGCGAAGGCGGGUCUCUGGACAGUUCCUGACACUGAGGCAACGAAGGGCCAGGGGAGCAAAACGGG
rnacentral:rRNA from 1 species